GCCCUGUGGUUGCUGGACACUGGUUUGUGCGUACAGUGCUUCAGUGGUUAGAAACGGGCCAAAAGCGAUACUGUGAUUUAUGCAUGGAGCCUGUGGUACAUGAACAGCCUCCAUAGCCCAGUCACAGUUACAGAC